AAGAAACGGUUCCCGUAAGAUCACCGGUUAAGCAACAUUGAGCCUAGUCAGUACCUAGAUGGGUCACCGCUUGGGAAUACCAGGUGC